rnacentral:rRNA from 2 species
UUUAGCGGAGGUAGAGCACUGAAUUCCUAAGGGGGCGUCAAAGCUUACCAAGGGAUAUCAAACUCCGAAUGCCGCAUAAAUGAUGUAUGGGAGUCAGACUGCACGAGAUAAGUUGGGUAGUCAAAAGGGAAAGAGCCCAGACCUACAGCUAAGGUCCCAAAGUGUGUGUUAAGUGGAAAAGGAUGUGGGAUUUCAAAGACAACUAGGAUGUUGGCUCAGAAGCAGCCACACAUUCAAAGAGUGCGUAAUAGCUCACUAGUCGAGAGGUCCUGCGCCGAAAAUGUCCGGGGCUGAAACACAACACCGAAGCUUAGGAAUGUAUGUAAGUACAUUGGUAGAGGAGCAUUCUUAGUGCGGAGAAGCGGUACCGAUAAGGAGCCGUGGAGCGUUAAGAAGAGAGAAUGCCGGAAUGAGUAGCGAGAUGGAGGUGGGAAUCCUCCAGGCCGAAUAUCCAAGGUUUCCAGAGUAAAGCUGAUCUGCUCUGGGUAAGUCGGGGCCUAAGGCGAGGCUGAGAGGCGUAGUCGAUGGACAACAGGUUGAAAUUCCUGUACCAUGUAUCAUCAGAACUGUGGGGACACAGAAGGACAACACAUCCCGGGAAUGGGAAUACCGGGGCAAGCGAGGUAGGAGUACGGUUGGCAAAUCCGCCGUGCAAUCCGAAGACGUGACGCGCAGCGAACUAAAGUAGCGAAGUGUGUGAUUCCGGCUGUCAAGAAAAGCCGCUAUUGUGUGAUACAUGCCCGUACCGUAAACCGACACAGGUAGAUGAGGAGAGAAUCCUAAGGCCGGCGGGAGAAGCAUUGUUAAGGAACUCGGCAAAAUGACCCCGUAACUUCGGGAGAAGGGGUGCCACAGAGAUGUGGCCGCAGAGAAUAGGCUCAAGCAACUGUUUAGCAAAAACACAGGUCUAUGCAAAACCGUAAGGUGAGGUAUAUGGGCUGACGCCUGCCCGGUGCUGGAAGGUUAAGAGGAGAGGUUAGCGCAAGCGAAGCUUUGAAUUUAAGCCCCAGUAAACGGCGGCCGUAACUAUAACGGUCCUAAGGUAGCGAAAUUCCUUGUCGGGUAAGUUCCGACCCGCACGAAAGGCGUAAUGAUUUGAGCGCUGUCUCAACAAUGCACCCGGUGAAAUUGAAAUACCAGUGAAGAUGCUGGUUACCUGCGCCAGGACGGAAAGACCCCAUGGAGCUUUACUCCAGUUUGAUACUGGGAUUCGGUAUUGCAUGUACAGGAUAGGUGGGAGGCUUUGAAACAUGGACGCCAGUCUGUGUGGAGCCAAUGUUGGGAUACCACCCUUGCGAUAUUGGGUUUCUAACCUGCGCCCGUGACCCGGGCGGGGGACAAUGUCAGGCGGGGAGUUUGACUGGGGCGGUCGCCUCCGAAAGGGUAUCGGAGGCGCUCAAAGGUUCCCUCAGGAUGGUUGGAAACCAUCCAAAGAGUGCAAAGGCAUAAGGGAGCUUGACUGCGACACCGACGGGUGGAGCAGGUACGAAAGUAGGACUUAGUGAUCCGGUGGUAUGAAAGUGGGAUUGCCAUCGCUCAACGGAUAAAAGCUACCCUGGGGAUAACAGGCUUAUCACUCCCAAGAGUUCACAUCGACGGAGUGGUUUGGCACCUCGAUGUCGGCUCAUCGCAUCCUGGGGCUGUAGCAGGUCCCAAGGGUUGGGCUGUUCGCCCAUUAAAGCGGUACGCGAGCUGGGUUCAGAACGUCGUGAGACAGUUCGGUCCCUAUCCGGCGCGGGCGUAGGAUAUCUGAGAGGAGCUGUCCUUAGUACGAGAGGACCGGGAUGGACAGACCGCUGGUGUACCUGUUGGCCUACCAAGGCCAUGGCAGGGUAGCCAAGUCUGGACGGGAUAAACGCUGAAGGCAUCUAAGCGUGAAGCCCCCCUCAAGAUGAGAUAUCCCAUCGCGAAAGCGAGUAAGACCCCUUGAAGACGACGAGGUAGAUAGGUUAGAGGUGGAAGUGCAGUAAUGUACGGAGCUGACUAAUACUAAUCGGUCGAGGGCUUAUCCAA